UUGGAUUCCCUGGAGAUGGGAAUAUAGACAGGUUUGAUCCACGUAGGUUCUGAGAACUGAACCCAGGUUUUCUGGAAGAACAGCAAGUACUCUUAAUGGCAGAAUCAUCCUCCAUCCUAUACUGCCAAUUAUAGAGAUAGAGUCUCCCUUUCAGACUAAAGUUGGAAUUCACUAUUUUCUAUGUUGCUGAGCCUGGCCAUCAGAGUCCUGGGAUAUGCCUGCCUCUACCUUCCUUUGAUCUCUCCAGUGCUGGGACUGCAGAGCGUGUGCAGCCACACUAGAUGCUAAGGAUCAAACACACGUUCUUAAGCUUGCACAGUAAGUGCACUACUCACUGAGCCAUCUCUCCCCUCACCAGUUACUGGCUUUAUUUUGCAGAUCUAUUGAAUUUUUAUAUCAUGUAUUCUUGUGUCUCCUUUCAUUUGUGGUGGUAUCCUUUAGUUCCUUAGUGGAUGUUGCACCUAUUAACAGUUUAUUCUUUUGUGUUUCCAUUAUGUCGGCACAUCAGCAUUUGUUUAUCGGCUCACCUGCUCAUGGAUGUUUGGACUGCUUCCAGUUAUUGGUUAUUAUAUAUCAAGCUAUUAGGAAAAUUUCUGGGUAAGCAUUUUUGUACUUCCAUAUUUUUAUUUUUUUUUCCUUUGGCUUGUUGUUUUGUAUGCAUGACACCAAAGUCACAGCUAGAGAGACUUUCAGGGUUUUGAAUUUAUGGAACUUCUUUUAUGCCUCCAUUUGUUUAGGUGCUCCAUCGUGGUAAAUGUUCUAUGUGCCCCUCAAAAGAAUAUGUUGUGCAGUUGCUGGGUGGGAUGUUUUAUGGCUGUCAUUUAAUUCAAAGUGGUUGAUACCUCCUGAUGAAUUGUUGGCUAGGAAGUCCCCAGAGACUGCUCCCAAUAUACAAGCUAUUGCCAUUGCUCUUGGCUGCCAUAGAUGCUAAGACUUUAUUGCUCAAGACACUACAGGCUUUAGAUACAAGACUUGCAGGAAUCAAGCUGGUUCUAGCAGCCUCCUCCCCGAGGGCGAGUUCAUCAGUAUUGGAAGAUGCCAUGCAAGCCACCAAGGGAGAAAAAUAAUCAGUUGUCCAAGCCAGCUGUAAAGGCUGAAAACCACCAUGAUGACCACCUUGGCAAAAUAUCUCCAGUUACCCAACAGUGGCCCUAAUAUCUUAGGAGUAACCAACAGUUGUCUAAUUGGAUUUAUGGCCCACUCAAUAGGAGACAACUCAUGUCUGGUACUCUACACUGAGCCAAGAACCUGUGGCCGGAGGGGGUCACAGAUCCUAAAAAGGAACCUGCUUCUGCCAUUCUCCUAAAUUAAUAUACAAUCCAACUAUAUUCUAAAUAUUUACCUUUCCACACAAUAAUAAAUAUGGUUUUAACUAACCAUUCAUUAAUUAACUAAACCAUAUUAAUAAUUAAUUUGGUUUUCCCCACCCCCCUAUGGAGUCUGCUACAGACACCUGUAACUUGUCAGGAGGCAGAGAAUAGCUGACCAAGAGAUGCCUAGCCCCAACUGGUACAUCUAUAACAUUAUCCCAAUACCUAAGACUUAGAGAACAUUGUGGAAGAGGGUAGUGGAAAGGUAGUAACAACCAGAGGACCAGGACACCAACUUCUAGAUAGUGUCUUCUAAACACAACAGAGAAGCUGCUCCCUUUGAACUCUCAAUCUGGCUGCCUUACCAAGACCAACAGAAUGACAAUCACAGUCAACUUGCCAAUGUGAAUGGAGAUGGGAUCUUCACAAGGCCUCACCCCUCAAUGAAGUUAAUCACUGUCUCCUGAGAGAGAGUCAGUUUCCUCAAGGGGCAAGUCUCCUGAUAGUUUAUAUAAUUAUAAGUUGUUAGCCUUCUAUAUGUGUACAUAUAGACAACAUUAGUUGGACUCAGUGGAUUGAAAACAUACAAGCGUAACAAUAAUAAAGAAGAGGUCAUGAAUUCAAGAUGGGGUGGGGGAAGAUUGGGCACAGUUGGAGAGGGAGAAGAAAUGGUGGAAAUGAUCUAAGCUUUGUAUGAAAUAAAAAGACUAAAAAAAAAAACAAAACCCAAAUUGGUCCCGAAGCUCAGUCAUCGGAGUGCCUUGCUUGCCAGGGGAGAGCUAGAGAUCCUGUGUUUACUCUGAGCUUGCUUGUGUUUGAGAGCCAUUUGCGUCCAUUUGUGUCCAUUUGGACUGGGCCAACUGUUUAGUCAGAGUUUUCUAGAGUUAACCGAAUCAAGGAGAUGAAUGUACAGCACACAGUGCCCAUGCUCUCUCUCUCUCUCUCUCUCUCUCCCUCUCUUUCCCUCUGUCUCCCUCUCUCCCUCUCUCUCUCCCCCCCCUCUCUCUCACACACACACACAUACACACAUUUAUUAACUUAGCGUUACAAUAAUAACAGCUGAAUCACACCUGAGAAGAUGAGAACCUGGGAGUUUACUUGGUUCUUGUGGCUGGUGCCCCAAGUCACAGUAGUCCCACAAUAGCUGCCUCUUGCUGGGAUAUGACAACCUGUAGUGACUCAGUCUACAAGUUGGAGUGCCUCAGUAGUCUCAGUUUGGUGUUGGAAGCCUGGAGGUUUCUUGGAGAGAGCCACUGGUUCCCCAGUUCACAAUGAAAGCCUGGAGAUUCUGGUUCUGCUGUCAGUGAAGAGAUCAUAUCAUCAUCAUCAUCAUCAUCAUCAUCAUCAUCAUCAUCAUCAUCAUCAUCAACAACAACAACAACAACAACAACAACAACAACAACAGGAAAGCUCAACUCAGCAGCAAGAUGGAAAGCCAAGUAAGCAAAAGGCGAGUGAUCUUCCUUCUGCCAAGCCCUUUUGUAUUUGUGCCACGACCAGAAAGUGCCACCUGUAGUCAGAGUGGGUCUUCCCACAUCAGUCAAGGCAGCUGGGACACUUCUUCAGGUGAGACUCCCUGCUCAGGUGAGUAUAAUUUGUGGCAAGUUGACGUUAAAACCGACCAUAAAACCAGCAUAGCUCACCCAAACACAGCACCAUAAAAGGAGACCACCAAAAUUCACCAAAGCUGCAUUGGUGACAUGAUUUGCAUUAGCUUGUCACACUGAAGGGAUAGUAGACAUGGCAAAUGGACCCCCAAGACCUUACUGAGUGAGCCUCUGUAUUUAUGUUUUCCUGGCUUACGUCUGGGGACCUGCUGUGGAAUUCUUGCCUGGGAGGCCAGGUUAGCAUGAUGUCACUGUUGCUACCCACCAAGGUAUCAAGUGGUGGGCGGAAACAAUUGAGUUUAGAGACGUGAGAUGUCAUGUCAAAAAUCUGAAAAGUUGUUUGUACUUCUGAUCUUGCCAAAUGCAAAGUGUCUUUGGUCUUGGGGAUAGAUUUAAAAAAAAAAACAAAAACAAAAAACUAAUUCCCAGGACAGUGUCUACCGCUAGUGAUAAGAACUUUGUUGCUUUUUAAACUGUGAUUUGAUUUAAACAGAGAGCCACAUCUGAAAUAGCCUGUCCAAUUAAAGUCAUCACCUGAUUGAGUUGUCAGUGAUUUAAUGCUAUCAAAAAGCUCCAGUUGUCCUCUGGCAUAUAUCAAGAGGCGAUUCAAAUGGCUAUAUGGCUGGAAUCCCCAGUCUUUUGUCUUUCAAGUUGUUAACGGUAGCAUUAAGCACAUACUUUGAUGUAAAGAUGUAAAACUACUUGUGCUGACUAGAUUUAUGUCAACUUGACACAAGCUAAAAGUCAUCUGAGAGGCAGGAACGUCAACUGAGAAAAGAACACCUCCAUAAGAUUGGGCUGUAAGGCAUUUUCUCAAUUAGUGAUUAAUGGAGGGUGGUCCAGCCUAUUGAGAGUGGUGCCUUCUCUGGGCUGGCGUUCCUGGGUUCUCUAAGAAAGCAGGCUGAGCAAACCGCGAGGAGCACCCCUCCAUGGUCUCUGCAGGAGUCCUGUCUCCAGGUUCCUUCCCUGUUUGAAUUCCUGUCCUGGCUUCUUUCAACGAUGGACUACUAUUCGUAAAGCAUUUAUCAAAUGGAUCAUGAAGCUGUUGUGGGUGAAUCCAUUGAUUUCUGUGCGGGGCUGAAGAACCCUCAAGCGAAUGUGUAGAGAGCAGAUGAAGCCCCAAGUGAGUGUGUACUGUUGACAUGGCGUGGCUCACAGGAAUUUGGCAAAGUCUUCUCCUGAGGUGAGGUUUAUAGGAUGGUAAAACUUUCCUCUUGUCAGAGCAUUAAUUGUUGGCACUGUGUGCAACAUCUAGAAGCCUCAGCUCCUUCUUCCUGAUGUUUACAGCGUGAGACAGCUCAAAUAUAGAUAGUCUACUGAGAUUCCUCUAUUCUAUGCUGUACAUAAAUGUGGUGAGGUUCUGGGUUACCAAGUAGCUGAUUCUGUUCCAUUAAAGUGUGCAUGACCCACUUGACCCCAGGUUUUCUGUGUGAAUGUCUGUGGGUCUGUCCUUUCAUCCUUCUGUCACUAUUCUAGUUGGG
rnacentral:lncRNA from 1 species